GGUAGUGUAGUUAACACCUGCAUUAUUUGACGUUACCUACAGAAGAAGCACCGGCUAACUCCGUGCCAGCAGCCGCGGUAAUACGGAGGGUGCGAGCGUUAAUCGGAAUUACUGGGCGUAAAGCGCAUGCAGGCGGCCUGUUAAGUCAGAUGUGAAAGCCCGGGGCUUAACCUCGGAAUUGCAUUUGAAACUGGCAGGCUAGAGUCUUGUAGAGGGGGGUAGGAAGUUUCAGGUGUUAGCGGUGAAAUGCGUAGAGAUCUGAAGGAAUACCAGUGGCGAAGGCGGCCCCCUCGGACAAAGACUGACGCUCAGAUGCGAAAGCGUGGGGAGCAAACAGGAUUAGAUACCCUGGUAG
rnacentral:rRNA from 1 species